rnacentral:sRNA from 1 species
GGUGCUCCUCUCUCAGUGGCCAUCAUGUCUUUGACAUCUGCUUACCAGCAUAAAUUAGCAGAGAAGCUCACUAUCCUGAAUGAUCGCGGUCAGGGGGUUCUCAUCCGUAUGUAUAACAUCAAGAAGACUUGUUCAGACCCCAAAUCUAAGCCACCUUUCUUAUUGGAAAAGUCCAUGGAACCAUCUGUCAAGUAUAUCAACAAGAAAUUUCCCAACAUAGAUGUCCGAAACAGCACGCAACAUUUAGGACCAGUACAUCGUGAAAAAGCCGAGAUAAUUAGAUUCCUCACCAACUACUACCAGUCAUUUGUGGAUGUCAUGGAAUUUCGGGUGAGCUCUCUUGAGCCCUUUCCAACGUAGGCAAGGUCUUUCAGAGGCUAUUCUUUCUUUAGAUGUUUAUGUAUUUGCUUAAAACAAGUUCUUGAAAAAAUGAGAGAGAUGUACUAAUAUGGAAGGAUAUCUAAGUUGUAUUGUUAAAUGAAAGCAAAUUUCAAAAUAGUAUAUGAUACAUCAUAUUUCUAUUUUAAAAGAGUAUGUAUGUAUAUGUAUUUAGUAAAUAUCUAGGAAAGAUCUGGACUAUUUUACAUUAAACUGUUAAAAAUAACUACCUUUGGGGACUGAUUAUGACGGCUUCA